GCGCUGGCCAGCACUCUGGCCCACCCCCGGCCCUGGAGGGAGGGCACCAGCCUGCCCACAGCCUCUCCGUUCUUCCCUCACCCCUCGCGGCCCAUCGUGACAGUCCCGGGACUCCGGGAGCCCAGCCCACUCAGCCGCACUUCCACUCUCCCCACCCGGUCUCCCCUGCGCCCCGGGAGCUGGGACUAGCAGCAUCUCCGCUGACACCGAGGCCCUAAACAGCCUCCGGGCAACCUUCUAACACUGCCUUUACGCUCGCCUUCCCCUUACAACCUUGGGGUUACCGGGUCACCUCCUCCCCAGGCACACGCAGCCCAGCACCCCUACUGCCUUCCCUAAGCACCGCCAUUCCAGCCACACCCCCUACGUGGGUAGGACUGUAUCAGCAACAACUGUGGGCUCAGCUGCCCGCAGCCUCCUCCAAGAAGUGAGGCCGGGAGGUUACACCAGAGGCUGGAGGGCUCCAAGCUGGGCCCCGGAUCCUAGCUGUGCCUAACCCAUGCAGGGAUGGCCUCUGGUGGCAGGUUCUUUGCUGGUUGUCAUGAAUCCACUUUUAAAAAAAUUUGUGACAGCGCUCAAGGGCGUUUUAGCUGCCUUUAUGAUUUGAGAAUUGUCAGUUGGAUACUUUCUAGUUAAGAAGAGUUGGAGGGGGAUGAGCUGCUAAAAAGUAUUUUUGAAGACAUGCAAUACACAGGACCAUUACUUCGAAAUGAGGAUAAUGGGGAUGGGGAAAUCAUGUGAGGUUUUGAUAUCAGCAGAGUCAAAUGGCUCCAGGCCAAGUUUGAGGCUCCUGAAUUGGUGGGUAGGGUACUUUCAAUGGGAAGACUUUUUUUUUUUUUCUUAAGUUGGUUAUGCACAAGCAGGAAACGCAGUUAUGCUGGCUUCUACCUUCAGAGGUUUUGUAAAAGCUGGUCUGGGUUAUCGGAAAAAAUAAAAUGUUAAAACAGAAGGCAGUCUUUCUGCCAGUAACUUGUGGAUGCUUUCUGUGUCUACUGUUCCUCCUAGCAAAGUGUUUUUGCUCUAUAAGCAUUAGCGUUGGGUGGAAGAGAGGAAAAGAUUAGAUAAUACCCUAUUUAGUAGCAUUUAAGCAUUUUUAAAGGUUUAAGGCUGAGACGUUAGAUUCUAACCUCAAAAUGUUAUCGCUGUGAGAAAUAGGGUCCGAAUAAUACACCAAAAUAAUUGCUGACAUAACUUUUAAGAGAAUUGAGACUAGCUUCCCAUUUUAUAUAGUUUUUAAUAGUUUUGAAAUCUGCACUUAGUACUUUGUUUACUAGCUUUAAAAACAAUCUUAAUCCAAAAAGUAAAAAAGUGAGACUACAAAAAUAACAAAGAAAAAAAGAUUGGGCUGUACUGACAUCUUCAUGACAAUUCUUCUGGAUAUGUGGUAUUCCAAUCAUGUAUAAUGUAUAGAAAGAAAGUGAGGAAAAAGCAUUGCAUUUUAUAUUAAUAGUUAAUAUUAAAAUAGCUUGCCUUAUUGCUAUACACUCUGUAUGUUACAUAACCACUAGGAAUCUUUGCUGUAUUUUAUUCCUUCACCUUGUAGAAACAGUAAAAAUAUCAAUUAGUUGGUGUACAGGAGGAAAGUCCUAGAAGGCCUUCUUUUUCAAAACAGGCAGCUUAUUUUCCUGUAUUAUCACAUUAGGCUAAGAAGCUUAGCCUGGCACAGUGUCGUGUCCAUCAGGAGGAAACAUUUGAAGGCAGAAAGAGCUUUUCUUCUCUAACAGGCAUUGGGAAAGAUGGCAACUAGAUUGAUGCACAAAACCAGCCUCUGCUGCUUUUCACAAACAAAGAAAAUGGAAUGCCAGCUCCCACCCCCACUCCCAGCAUUAAUCACAUCUUAUUUUGCCCUGUCCUUUGUGGAGUUUUUCCCCUCUUGGAAAUUGCUAUUUAUAGUCAUAUUUUAAAAAUUUUCUCAUAUAAAACAUUGGCCAGGGUUGGGACCAGAGGCAGGUGGGUCAGGGGCUGGAAAGUAGAGGAGGUCUCAAACAAACAAGGUGAUUUACCCUGGUCCUUCCUUUCACAUCUGCUGUCAGCUAGAGAUGACCCUGAAUAUAAAUUGCUGUGUGCCCUUUGCUGAGUGAACUGCAAUUUAGGAGUAGUGCUUAUCCUGGUAUCCUUGGAAACUGGAGAUAAUGAUUCCUCAUUACAGUUAGUUUCUAUAUUUAACUGUGUGCAUGUGUGUGGCUCUCUAGGCACUUUUUCAGUUAGCAUAAUUUUUUUCUUCAUGUUUGUAUUGUAUAAAAAUAACUCUUAUCUUUUUGGAAUAUGUGUAUAUGUAAAAUAUGUGGGAUAUACUGAUAGUGUGACAGUCAAGUGUUUCAAGUAUCCCUGGCUUCUUUUUCGUCUUACUUAUCUUUAAUUCCUUUAAUUAUUAGCUGUCUUAUUUGCCAUACAAUAAAUUCAAAGGGAAAAAUUUGUAAGGUGGUACUUCAAGACAGAACUAGUGGAGCAAGGGUGAUUCAUAGCCUCAGAUAUGCCUGAUUUGGUGGACACACUGAACCCCGUUUAUAUGUUUAUAUGUGGUAGUUAUUAGUUUAACUUUGCUCAUUGUAGAAGGUAAUUGAAGUUUUCCUUUUAAAUGCUAACAUUUAAAUUGUUGUGAUUAUUUUUAAACUUUCAUUCUGUUAUAAUUUCAAAUUUACUAAAAACUUGCUAGAGUAUUAUAAUAACUGCCACAUAUUCUCAUGUAACCAUUUUGGUUUCCAUUUUUUCUAUAGUGUAUUACUUCUCUGCUCUCUUUAUGGGCAGGUGCUAGGAGACAUUGACUGUUGUGUUGUGUACUCACAUUUCCAUGUUUGCUUAUGCUUUUACUUAAGUAAUUUUUACAAAAUCAUGAAGAACGACAAGUUCCGAGGUCAUCUAGGCCAACCUCUUCCUGUAUCAUGGAUGAAGCAGUUUAAUGUUCAAAGUUGCUACAAGUUCUGUCCUGUUCCCGAGUUACCCAGUGAAGGUGUCAGCUGUGACUUUCACUGCUGUGGCACACAUAUCAAAAUGUCUCCCUUCUUACCAAACGCCUCACCAAAUAUCCUAACCCAGUGAAUUUGUAUAGCAGGUCUUUUUAAUACUCUUGUUGUUGUUUAGUAAGAAUUAACACAGCUCUGAAAAUAGCUAAUAGCCUUUAUACAAUGAUUUCAGAGUUUUAGAAGGCUAUAUAGUUUGGGCCAAAGAGUGAAUAUUUCUGGCUUUGCUAGCCAUGUGGUAGAGAGCAGCCAUAGAAAAUACUUAACAAAUUGGCCGUGGUUGUGUUCCAGUAAAACUUUAUUGACAAAAAUAGUUGGCAAAUCAGAUAUUUGCCGACUUUUGGGGUAUGUUAGAAGUUAUACCAUUAGAGCAUUGAGGCUUUAACUCAUUAGCAAAAUGGUCUUUCUUAAUAAACAUUCCUCAACAAUGAUUGCAAUUUCUUAUAUUGUACACAUUACUGGAGAUAUUUAAGAAUUAAAAGAAGUAAUCCACAAACUUAAGAAUCAGUUUGGGGUAUAUAUAAUUGUGUUUUCUAUUUUUCAUGCAAACAAAUAUCUCUGAGGAUAAAAUAUAUAAAACCUUAUAUUCUAUUAAGCUGUGAUCUACCAUUAACUCAAGGCCAUUGCAAGUUCAAAGAUGGAGAUUGAAGGGUCUCUAAAGUGCCUUCCAGCAGGAAAUGAAUUCGAGCCAUGCAGAAAGGAACAUUAUUAUUAUUUGUAAAUUAUCACUUUAUAAACUAUGUAGGACAUUAAGGCUUUUUUCUUUAUUUUUUUUAAGAGCAGACAGAUGACCUUGGGAAUAUAGAUGUUACUAUCUAUAUGUAGUAAAAUAAUUUAAAAUUAAACAGAAGGCACAUACAUAGAAAAAUGAUGCAUAUAAAACAUUUGAUUCCUAAGUUCUUUUAAGCAUGAUUUCUUAUUGGCAAUAGCAUUGCCAAAUACAUAUAUUCUGUGAUUUUUCUUGAUAUUGUUAAAUAUUUUAAAAGUUGAAGUUUAUUAACCAAGGGUUUAAAAUCUCAACAUUUCUUCAAAUCUAAAAUUCAAAUGUGCAACCUAAAAUAUGUUCCAAAUUCUUGAUCUAUACUACAUUUGACAUUAAUAUAAAUGGUUCAGGGGGAGGGAGGGACAUAGGAGAAAAGAUGCUACUUAAAUUUUUCUUGGUUCCAUUUAGUGUGUCAUCAAAUUAUUUUUCUUUUGCUGUACUAGACAAGACAUCAUUACUGUUUGUUUAACUUCUAUUAGAGAUAAUUUAUAUAAAGCAAUUACCUUAGACUUAGCAUGUAGGGAUGCUCAGCAAAUGUUAAAUAAACUAAUUUUUUGUGAAUUUUUUUUACUUACUUUUAUUUAACCUCUUUGGAGUAUGAGAACAUCCAGUUACAUGGUGGAAAUAAAUAGAGAAUCAGAUCUUGCUGUCAGAACUCAAUUUAAACUAAGGCUUAUUGUAGCAAGGUUUGCUUUCAAAAGCUUCCUGAAAAUGACAUUCAUGCCAUUAAAUAGGUGCAUGUUUCUAGUAAUUAAAAGCUGAGGGAGAUUUCUUAAAUCAAGGUAAUUGUCUCUAGGGAAGGUGUGUCCACAGGGUUAGAAAGGAGUCAACUUGUGAAGCUUGCAGAAGGUUCAUUCAAAACCAUUCAUUGACCCCUUGUUAUAUGCCAAGUGUUUUCCUCCCUAGAUGACUUAGAGGAGAGCUUAAUAGAGAUCUUUUCCUAAUAGCCAAGAAAAAAAAUUGCCUGUGGGAAAGAAUACAAAACUUCAAGCCUUUGCCAGCUUGGGCAGGAGGCAAGAGGUGUUACCUUUCAGAAUGACCCUUCUGGGUGAGUGGUAGGAGAGCAGAAAUGGAAUAUGAGACACAGCACUCCUGGGAACCUGGGUAUUGGUUUUGGACCAAUGUGAAAGGGUAAUUAGUAAAGAAAAUGCAAAGACUGAAGGGACUCUUAGGUAAUAAUGAAUUCAAGUCAUGUUAUAAAUCUUAAUACACACACACACACACACGUAUGUAUGUAUAUCAUGUAUAUCUCAGAGGUAGUUUAUGACCAGCAGUUUUUGCCCCUGCUUCCAACUGGGUAGUUGUUUUAGCUCCCAUGCUUCUUACAUGAUGCUUGGUUGGGCCACUUUUACUCUGCUGUCAGCCCAGGGCUUGUGACUUGGGUGAAACUGGGCAGAGAACUUCAUGAAUAUAAUUAAUUGAAUCUGUGAAAAGACUGGAAGACCUAGUUUGGAAAAUGGACAGAAACCAAGAAAAGGUUGGUGAAGCCAAGCUGAGAUUAUUCUGGAAUGGCCUUCUGAAGGAGCCACUGCCCUAGUGACUGGCCACCAUGGAGCUCUGGAACCAUCACUUCUGCCUGCAGCUUUGAAAAGUGGUUCCACUUCAGCUCCACAGGCUGAGUGCAGCUUGUUGUAGCCAUGUCACAGGCCGUAGGUUUCAGCAAGCACAGGUGUUUGAUCUCUUUUGCUUUCCAUGAAGACAAAUAGUGCCAGGAAGACUAAAUAAGUAGAUAAAACAAAAAACAAAGCAACAGCAACAAAAAUGGAAAGUAUUUUCCAGAGGUUAAUGUAUAAGAAGUUGAGAUGUUCUCUCCACUGAUUUUUUUGUUUGUUUCACUUGUUUGUGUUUUUCAUCUUGAUGGAAAAUUUGUGAUUUCCCUUCACAGAAAAAUGGAACUAUGGCUUAGAUUUCAUAAUUUAUACUGCUGAUUUCAUGUACUUUGACAGUUGAAUCACAUCUCCCAGCCUUCUUUUCUGUAGGAAUUGGUGGGUUCAUGGUUCCCUUGAGAUUCUGGCACAUUCUUUGUGAUGACUGUAAAAAUAACUGCCUCGUCUAACUUGAAAAUGACAGAAUAGAAUAUGGCAUAGAUUCUUCAUGCUGUCCGUUGGGAAAGCAAGAUUUCAAAGAUCAUUAGAAAGACAGUUUUAAUAUUAUGUGAAAUUAUAUUAUUGCAUAUUAUAAUUUAGAAAUAGUACAGAGAAUUAAUAAAAACAUAACAAUUGGAGUUUUUUAGUAGUCCAUUAGAAAAACUGUUGAAAUAUGUUUUCUAACUCCUUCAGGGGAGUUUUAUUAACAUGUAUUUAUUGUUACAUCAAUCAGAUGCCCACAGUGGAAAAAGUGGGCAGAAAAAAAUUAUCAAGGCAGAAGGUAGGAGUCUGGGGCAGUGGCAGAAGGUAGAUGCCCUGAUUUUUAAAAAAAAUAUAUGAUAGCAAUAAAGAAGGCAACUGUGAUGGCCUGAGGGUUCUCAUUUAAAAAUUAUAGCACCACAUUUUUGUAACACUUAUGUAGCUUCUUUCCUAAUUUGACUUUUCACUUGAUUAUAGCUUUUAAAUUCAGUUAUAAAUAUUAGUGCCCAAGGUGUUACAAAUCUGUUUUUAUUUGGGAGAUAAAUAUAUAUGCUGUGUUUAUUGUGAGCAAAAAUAAUAUGCUGUGUUUAUCAUCUUAGCACUCCUUUGCACUUCUCUACUUAACGAUUGUUCAUUUUAGAUAUGUCGUUGAUUAUAUUUUAAAAAUACAAAUGAAGUGCUUUGGUCAA